UUGGAUCCAGACUUUGAUUAUGGCUCAGGAUGAACGCUAGCUACAGGCUUAACACAUGCAAGUCGAGGGGCAGCAUGAUUGAAGCUUGCUUCAAUCGAUGGCGACCGGCGCACGGGUGAGUAACACGUAUCCAACCUGCCGAUGACUCGGGGAUAGCCUUUCGAAAGAAAGAUUAAUACCCGAUAGCAUAGUUUUUCCGCAUGGUUUCACUAUUAAAGAAUUUCGGUUAUCGAUGGGGAUGCGUUCCAUUAGAUAGUUGGCGGGGUAACGGCCCACCAAGUCAACGAUGGAUAGGGGUUCUGAGAGGAAGGUCCCCCACAUUGGAACUGAGACACGGUCCAAACUCCUACGGGAGGCAGCAGUGAGGAAUAUUGGUCAAUGGGCGAGAGUCUGAACCAGCCAAGUAGCGUGAAGGAUGACUGCCCUAUGGGUUGUAAACUUCUUUUAUACGGGAAUAAAGUGGAGUAUGCAUACUCCUUUGUAUGUACCGUAUGAAUAAGGAUCGGCUAACUCCGUGCCAGCAGCCGCGGUAAUACGGAGGAUCCGAGCGUUAUCCGGAUUUAUUGGGUUUAAAGGGAGCGUAGGCGGGUGCUUAAGUCAGUUGUGAAAGUUUGCGGCUCAACCGUAAAAUUGCAGUUGAUACUGGGCGCCUUGAGUGCAGCAUAGGUAGGCGGAAUUCGUGGUGUAGCGGUGAAAUGCUUAGAUAUCACGAAGAACUCCGAUUGCGAAGGCAGCUUACUGGACUGUAACUGACGCUGAUGCUCGAAAGUGUGGGUAUCAAACAGGAUUAGAUACCCUGGUAGUCCACACAGUAAACGAUGAAUACUCGCUGUUGGCGAUACACAGUCAGCGGCCAAGCGAAAGCAUUAAGUAUUCCACCUGGGGAGUACGCCGGCGACGGUGCAACUCAAAGGAAUUGACGGA
rnacentral:rRNA from 1 species